rnacentral:piRNA from 1 species
UAACAGCACUUGAGUGACACAUGGU